rnacentral:rRNA from 1 species
AUGGUUAGACGUUUCUUGCGUGUUUCAUUCAAGGUUAAGUUGCUAUUCGAGGAGAACAGAGCUCUUGACGAAGCCAACAAGAGGCUGCUGUGCUUGCUGGAGAAGGAGCAGAAACAUCGGUCUGAAACAAAGCAGCACUCUGCCACUAAUCCCACCAAGCAGAAGUGCAAGUCGUCGAGCCCCGUCGGGCUGGCCAUCGAUUUCAACAGUGCGGAUGCGUCGAGGCAGCCCUUGCAGCCAAACUCUCCAGACUGCAGGGUGCAGAAGAAGUGA